GGUCUCGUAGCUCAGUUGGUUAGAGCAACGGUCUAAUGUGCCGCAGGUCGAGGGUUUCAAGUCCCUCCGAGAGGUCA
rnacentral:tRNA from 1 species